CAGUGCUCAUCGGCCAUUGGACAUAAACAUUACACAACAAGUUGGAAAUCGCACAUUCAACAAUGAGUGGUUUGGGAAGGAAUCAGUGGCUAACUGUGAGUUCAAGACAACUGGGAACUCGGGAAGAAUUAGCUACAACUGGAAAAAUACGUUUUGAAUGGUCAUUCAACUCGGAAUUGUAAAUCCGGAAUCUUUCUCUUUGAUGACAAAAUUUGCCCACGAAGGACCGCCGCGCCACUUUCCUGUUCAAGCACAUCACAACUAUGAUGAAUCCAGGCUGUGUGAAAAGGUAGUGUCUGGUGAGCUCCCCGAAACCCACAGAGCUGUAGAGGAGAAACAAUGUUUUCAACAUGGAUCAGAGAGGAGGCUGGGGAAAGGACAGCACUCGCCUCCGGUGCAAAAACACCCACAGCGGCUACAGUACAAACACACGGAGAGAAGUACAGAAAGACACAAACACGACAGAGGGAGAAGGAGAGCAGAUUGGUGCGGACUACCAGCUCAGACAGAUUGUUGAAGGACUCGGAGGAGACUGAUUUUGAGGACUAUACAAUGCACCCCACAGUUCAUACUCUUCUGGAUGAGUUCACCACCAUUGCUGACUUAUCUGCUGCCACCCCCACCAAGGCUGUUCCUAUUACAGUCCAACUGUCAUGUUCUGACCUUUAUUUUCUUUGUUUUGUAUUUAUUUAGUAUGGUCACGGCGUGAGCUGGGGUGGGCAGUCUAUGUUUUGUUUUUCUAUGUUUGGGUUUC